CCUACGGGCGGCAGCAGUGAGGAAUAUUGGUCAAUGGGCUUACGCCUGAAGCAGCCAAGCCGCGUGAGGGAAGACUGCUCUAGGGGUUGUAAACCUCUUUUGUCAGGGAGCAAUUGGCGCUACGUGUAGCGGUAUCGAGAGUACCUGAAGAACAAGCAGCGGCUAACUCCGUGCCAGCACCCGCGGUAAUACGGGGGAUGCGAGCGUUAUCCGGAUUUAUUGGGUUUAAAGGGUGCGUAGGCGGAGUCCCAAGUCAGCGGUAAAAUCGCGGGGCUCAACCUCGAUCCGCCGUUGAAACUGGCGUGCUGGAGUGGGCGAGAGGUAUGUGGAAUGCGUAGUGUAGCGGUGAAAUGCAUAGAUAUCACGCAGAACUCCGAUUGCGAAGGCAGCAUACCGGCGCCCAACUGACGCUGAGGCACGAAAGCGUGGGUAUCGAACAGGAUUAGAUACCCUAGUAGUC
rnacentral:rRNA from 1 species